CCCUUUCUAAAACCCUAAACCUUGUUCUCAUUUUCCCAUUCUCCCUGUUCAUGUAUCUUUGGAAUUUAUAGAUUUAUAUACCUAUAUACUUUUUAUAGAAUUUGAUUGUAAAGUAAUAUGAGUUUCCUUGUCCUUAUCCUUUGCAUUCAAAGGAGUAGGUCCAUAGUUUGAAGAGUUAAGGAUAUUUUUUAUAGCUUGGUUUCUGUUGCUGAUGAGGUCGAGAAUCUGUGUUUCUUCUGGAUUCCUACCUCUUUACACUCCUCAGCCAUGGCAGAGCAGAUUGAGAAGGCUUUUCUUAAGCAACCAAAAGUUUUUCUAAGAUCCAAGAAAUUUUCCAAUGGGAAGAGACCUGGAAAGGGAGGGAAUCAUUUCUGGAAGAGCGUUGGGUUGGGUUUCAAGACCCCAGGAAAGUAAUUGAAGGUUUUUUUCUUUGUACCCAUGUUCAUUAAAUACGUGAAUGUGUUUACUUAUUUUAUUUUGGUAUAUAUUUUGUGUGAAUAUGUAUUUGGAUGGAUUUUCUUAGGGUUGUUUUUAUUUCGGCACAUAUAAACUUAAGAAUGUAUCAAAAUUUAGUUUGUUUAAGAGGGAUAUUUACUGCUUAAAAAUAUUGAAUGAGUGAUUGAGGAAGUGUGAAGGUUGAGUAUUCUGCUCUUAUCAGUAGUUGGACUAACCUAGUUUUGUUAUGGGUUUUAAUGUUCUUUCUUUCAAAGAUUUGUAGUAUAAACCAAGAUUUGUAUUAUUGCUUUCUUUGGAAGAAGAUUCUUGCUGUUCAUUUACAGGUACAUAUUCAUGUACAGGUACAUAAGUAGAACUUAUUUUGAUUUCCAUAUUUUGUGAUGGUAUUAAUGACUCAUAGUUGCUUGUUCAUUUACUAAUACAGGAUAAGAAAAACCCCCAUAGCUGAGGUUCUUGUAGCUAAUGAUCUGAGUGUGACAAUCUGGCUUCAAUCUACAUAAAUUCACCCUUAUUGCACACAUUGUUGUUCUGUGUUUGUAAUAUAAAAAUAAAUUGCAUUACAUAUUGAAACUAUUUUGUUAGGGCUACUGUUGGACUAGGAUAUGCUUUGCAGCUGCCAUUAUUGUAUUGGUGCUGCAAUAGUUACUACAGGAAUGAAAUGAAUGUAGUUCUCUCUUACAAGAAGUUGUUUUGUAAAAGAACUGCCACUCUAAAGCUUUAUUGUAAAAGAAUACCGAUAGAAAAUUAUGAUAACAUUUCACUA